UUAUCUUGAAUAUUAUUAUAGAUAGAGAUAAACUGUAAACAGCAAUAAUGUUCAGCAAAGUAAGAUUUACAAAUAAGUCAAACAUGACCGAAAUGGUCAAUUGACCCCCUAAGGAGUUAUUGUCCUUUAUAGUCAAUUUUUAACAAUUUUCAUAAAAUUUGUAAAUUUUUAUUAACAUUUUCCACUGAAACUACUGGGCCAAGUUCAUUAUAGAUAGAGAUAAUUGUAAGCAGCAAAAUGUUUUAGUAAAGUUAAAUGAAAUUCAAACACAUCACCAUCACCAAAACACAAUUUUGUCAUGAAUCCAUCUGC
rnacentral:lncRNA from 1 species